rnacentral:rRNA from 1 species
AGUAAAAAUCGUAACAAG